rnacentral:rRNA from 1 species
ACUUACUGGCGGACGGGUGAGUAACGCGUGAGCAACCUGCCUUACCGAGGGGGACAACAUUGUGGAAACCACUGCUAAUACCGCAUAACGUAUUUUUAAGGCGUCUUAGAAAUACCAAAGGAGCAAUCCGCUGUAAGAUGGGCUCGCGUCCGAUUAUGUAGUUGGUGAGGUAACGGCCCGCCAAGCCGACGAUCGGUAGCCGGACUGAGAGGUUGAACGGCCACAUUGGGACUGAGACACGGCCCAGACUCCUACGGGAGGCAGCUGUGUGGGAUAUUGCACAAUGGAGGAAACUCUGAUGCACCAACGCCGCGUGAGGGAAGAAGGGCUUCGGAUUGUAAACCUUUGUUUUUAGUGAAGAAUAAAAUGACGGUAGCUAAAGAGGAAGCCCACGGCUAAUUACGUGCCAGCAGCCGGCGGUAAUAGUAGGGUGGCAAGCGUUUUCCGGGAUUUACUGGGUGUAAAGGGGUGCGCAGGCGGGAACUGCAAGUUGGGAUGUGAAAUACCCGAGGCUUAACCUCGGGAACUGCAUCCAAAACUGUGGUUCUUGAGUGGAGUAGAGGUAAGCGGAAUUCCGAGUGUAGCGGUGAAAUGCGUAGAUAUUCGGAGGAACACCAGUGGCGAAGGCGGCUUACUGGGCUCUAACUGACGCUGAGGCACGAAAGUGUGGGUAGCAAACAGGAUUAGAUACCCUGGUAGUCCACACUGUAAACGAUGAAUGCUAGGUGUGGGGGGACUGAUCCCCUCCGUGCCAGAGUUAACACAAUAAGCAUUCCACCUGGGGAGUACGACCGCAAGGUUGAAACUCAAAGGAAUUGACGGGGGCCCGCACAAGCAGUGGAGCAUGUGGUUUAAUUCGAAGCAACGCGAAGAACCUUACCUGAUCUUGACAUCCGGAUGACCGGGGAGUAAUGUCCCCUUCCCUUCGGGGCAUCCGAGACAGGUGGUGCAUGGUUGUCGUCAGCUCGUGUCGUGAGAUGUUGGGUUAAGUCCCGCAACGAGCGCAACCCCUAUCUUCAGUAGCCAGCAUUUAGGAUGGGCACUCUGGAGAGACUGCCGGGGAUAACCCGGAGGAAGGUGGGGAUGACGUCAAAUCAUCAUGCCCCUUAUGACCAGGGCUACACACGUGCUACAAUGGCGUAAACAAAGGGAAGCGAGAGAGUGAUCUUAAGCAAAUCUCAAAAAUAACGUCUCAGUUCGGAUUGUAGUCUGCAACUCGACUACAUGAAGCUGGAAUCGCUAGUAAUCGCGAAUCAGAAUGUCGCGGUGAAUACGUUCCCGGG